UGACAGCGGGCGGAAUGCAAACAGCAGUCCUGCUCCUCUCCUCCUACCCCAGAACCUCCGGUCCUCCUCGGCGCUCUCACUGACUGGGGUCAGGGGCCACCCAGGUGCUGGGCUCGGAUUCCCAGGGUUUCUCACGUUCGGUCAUUGGAGGUCACAGGAGGUUCGUAAAGCUGAUGGGGUCACUGAGCCUCAGUCUCCUGCCCACAUGUCUGCCUUUCUCUUCUCCCAACCCCCACCUCUGUCUCAGGAUGAUUUAUCCAUUGCUUACCUGUUAACCAUUAUCAUCAACGAAUGCUUAAUCCAGGGGUCCUCAAACUAUGGCCCGCGGGCCACAUGCGGCCCGCCGAGGACAUUUAUCCGGCCCGCCGGGUGUUUUUGCCGCCGCUGCCUGUCCUGCUUAGUAGCCGACUCGUCCCAGGCCCACAGUGCGCAUGUGUGGAAUGUGCGCCCCGCACUCUCCGACUCCCCUCCUUCUCUCUGAGGGACAGUGAACUGGCCCCCUGCUUAUAAAGUCUGAAGACCCCUGGAGACGAGACUGUUGGUCCUGGGCAUUCUCCUAACUGGUCAUCAUGAAGCAUAAGGCGGCCUUCUGCAGACAAACCCUGCAAUCUACGUCCGGUGACGAGUUUCCCAAGAGCAACCCCCAAACCUCGACAGGCCCAGGAGUACAGCCCUGAGCCCUGGUGUGGGACCUCAGAGAAGCCCCGGGUCUGGAGCACAGAGGGGCCAGAGGCCCGGGCACAGCCCUGAGCCCUGGUGUGGGACCUCAGAGAAGCCCCGGGUCUGGAGCACAGAGGGGCCAGAGGCCCGGGCACAGCCCUGAGCCCUGGUGUGGGACCUCAGAGAAGCCCCGGGUCUGGAGCACAGAGGGGCCAGAGGCCCGGGCACAGGCAAGGCACGGCCUGCAUCCUCUGCCUGAGAGGGGGCUGGGCAGGUGUGGCCUGGCGCAGGCACUCAGCACACCAGGCCGUGGGUGCCCUCCCCUGGGGUAAGAGGCUGGGGGAGCACAGCAUGGGGACCCUCCCCUGGCCCACGCCACCCUCAGCCACUGCUGCUGCCACCGCCGCCACCACCCUGGACAUGAUGCUCCCUGGCCACUGUGCUGCCCGUGACCGCCUUCCGUGGCGACCGCCCUGAGGCUGGUGCAGCCGCCGCCCUGGACCUGCGGGAGCCGCGAGCGCUGCUCAGGGAAGAUGGAGAGCCCGCGCCCGCUGACCAACCGCCUGCCCGUCGGAGGGUCGUCAUGUCUUCAUGUGUUGAUUUGGGAAUGUUAUAUUUACUCUGUUGAUUUGGGAAUGUUAUAUUUACUCUGUUGAUUCGGGAAUGUUAUAUUUACUCUGUUGAUUCGGGAAUGUUAUAUUUACUCUGUUUUUCUUCAAUUUCUACACAUUUUGAAUUUGUUCCUUAUGUAUUGCAUUUUAU